UACGGAGGGUGCAAGCGUUAUCCGGAUUCACUGGGUUUAAAGGGUGCGUAGGAGGGCAGGUAAGUCAGUGGUGAAAUCCCCGAGCUUAACUUGGGAACUGCCGUUGAUACUAUCUGUCUUGAAUGUUGUGGAGGUGAGCGGAAUAUGUCAUGUAGCGGUGAAAUGCUUAGAUAUGACAUAGAACACCAAUUGCGAAGGCAGCUCGCUACACAAUUAUUGACUCUGAUGCACGAAAGCGUGGGAAUCAAACAGG
rnacentral:rRNA from 1 species